CCGAUUGGAUGCAAGGGGCCCUUGCCACGCCCGCCGUGCGCGCUCUGGGAGCGUACUGUGAAGAAGGCUGCAACGCUGGGACGGCGGCUCGCAGAGGCCUGAGUGCUGUACGCACCGCUCGUCCGGAGGCCUCCGGGGCGGGGCUGGUGGGAGGGCGCCCAGGGCUGUUACCCGGCUCACGUCACCCCGCGUAAAGCGAAUCCGGCGAUUAUACCGCGGGACAGUGAGCGCGGCGUGUUGGGACGGCGGUGGAGGUCCCGGGGCGUUCCCGCUAGGCGGCUUCGCCCGUGCCUGCUCACCCUGGGCCCGGGAUGCUGUUCCGGCGCGCGCUGUGCCUGCCGGGCCGUCUCCGGCAUCUUGGAUUUUUCACAAGCCUCUGGUCUAACUAGAAUUUUGGGAUUGAUGGGCUUGCUUCUAUCAACUACCGGAGGCCAAGAACAGAAGACAACAUAUACAACUACUCACCAUGCGCAAGUUGUUUGUUCUGGCUUCCCAAGAAUUCCUGCUAAUACUACUUCCCACUCC